UCUUCUCCUUUGAUCUCCUUGAUGGACAGGGUGGAGAAAUCCGUGCAACAUGCUUCAAUGCGCAGGCUGAUCAGUUUUUUGACCUCAUUGAGGUUGAUAAGGUGUACCUGAUAUCUAAUGGGUCGGUGAAACCAGCACUGAAGAAUUAUAACUCUUUGAAUCAUGAGUAUGAAAUAACUCUGGAUAACAAAACAUCAAUCGAAGUCUGCGUUGAUGAUGAUAGCAACAUCCCUAGGCAGGAGUAUAAUUUCCGGCAGAUAAGCGAAAUUGAGAACAUUGAGGCAGGUGUUAUUGUGGACUUGAUUGGAAUCGUUACAUCAGUUGGUCCUUCUGCCAUAGUGAUGCGAAAGGAUGGCACACAAGCCCAGAAAAGAACUCUUCAGCUGAAAGACAUGUCUGUUCGGAGCAUGGAGAUAAUCCUCUGGGGCAAAUUCUGUGAUGCAGAGGGACAUCAACUGCAGUUGCUGUGUGAUUCUGGUUCAAACCCUAUACUGUCUCUCAAAAGUGGUCGUGUUUGUGAUUUCAGUGGUAGAUCUGUGGUCACAAUCAGCUCAACUCAGUUAAAAGUAAACCCAGACUUUCCAGUGGCUAAAAGGCUGAAGCAGUGGUACGUAACUGAAGGAAAGAAUACCGCUUGCAUUUCUUUGUCUCAGGGAAUAUCAAACAUGAGCAGGAAUCAUGUGCUGAAAACAAUUGCACAGAUCAAGGAUGAGAACCUGGGGCGAUCAGACAAGCCUGACUUCAUCACUGUGAGGGCUGUACUCUCACAUGUGGGGGCUGAUAACUUCUGUUAUCAAGCUUGUACCUUGGAGCUUAAUGGUAAGCGAUGUUGUUCCUUUGAAUUUAAUGGUAAGCGAUGCUACAAAAAGCUGGUGAGAAAACCUAUAACGGUGAUAGAUGCAAUCAGAGCACUGAAAACUGUGAUAGAUGCAAUCAGAGCACUGAAAACUGUGAUAGAUGGUAUUGUGAUAGAUGCAAUCAGAGCACUGAAAACUGUGAGUACAGGUAGAUGCUUUCGUGUCAGAUCAAGGAUCACACUGGUACUACUUACGCUACUGCAUUCCAAGAGGCUGGUGAAGUGAUAUUUGGCCACACAGCGCAAGAGCUUUUCAUGAUACGAAAUGUAGAACAAGGUGAGGAGAGAUUCAAAGAAUUCACAGAAAUCAUGCAGGCGAUCAUUUGGCGUGAAUACCUAUUCAAGCUGAAAGUUGAUGAGAAAACCUAUAACGGUGAGCAGCGUGUGAAAUGCACCAUCAUUGGUGUCGAGAAGCUGGAAGAGACCAACAACCUUUUGAAGGAUGUUUCACGCCCAAUUCUGAAGGAUGAUUUGUCCUACACCCCAAACACUGGCUCUGCCAAUUUGGAAGCUAGACAGAGCAAGCUAACCUCCAGCAAUGCUAACCUCCUCCUAGACAGAGCAAGCUACGGCUCUAGCAAUGUGGGUGCAACAGGCUUUGCACAGUCGAACUGGUUGUGAUUUCAAUGGUGGCUUUGGCUUCAUGGGUCAGUCGGCAGUGAGGGGAGCCCCACUGUGCUUCAAUUGCAACCAGCCUGCCUAUUUUGGAAACCUGUGGUUUGUAAGCAACCGAUGGUUAGCAGUAUUCAUCUUAUGUUGAAUAAUGUUUUUAUAUAUUUGAUCUGUCCAAAUCCAAUCGAGGGAUGCUAGGUGUCUACUUUGCUUCUGCAAGCAUGUGAAGUGUUCAGGCAAAUGCGCCCUUUUUUUUAAAAUUCUCAUGAAUUUGGUGUUCGGGUGUAGAAGUAGGAUAGUGCACCACUGCACCCGGGCUGGUUGGUGAUGGUGAUCACCUGUGCUGUGACUAUUAGGAGAAUCUGGUGCAUUUGAUUGCCCGAGGAUUAUUUGAUCUGCCCGCAUGAAAAAGGCCUAAUUUUUUAUCAUCAACAGGCAGCCGAAGUAUCUUUUACUGUACAUGCUGGAUUCAAGAGAAAAGACAAAAGAGGAAAUUUUUUAAUGGCGAGCAGCUUGCUUUUAUUUUUAAAGAAAAAGAAAACCAAAAUCAAUGCAGCAAAUUUUGUUAGAAUGAGGGAAGACAGUAUCUAUUGUUGCUCAGACCUUUUUUUUCAAAGAGAGAAUUUUAUUAGUUAGCCACAUGCGAAUUAGUUUUAACGGUGUCCUAAUCAAGUCGCAAAAUGUCUACCUGUCCCAGUCUCCCGACUCCCGAGUGCGCCGAGCGAUGCGAGCGCACACAUUUGAAAAGAAGCAUUUAUACAGGUUUUAAUAUGAUAAACGUCUAAAACCAAAAAAAUCACUUUCAUAUAUUGGUGCUCCUUCUAUCCAUAAAAAAAAAUUAAUUAUCGCUUUUUGAAAAGUCAAACAGUUUGAAUUUUGAUUAAAUUUAUAUAAAAAGUUACUAACACUCACGCUAUAAUUGAGUGUUAUUAGAUUAGUUAUAAAACAAAAUUUUAUAAUAAAUCAUAAAAUACAUAAAUACUAAUAUUAUUUUCCCUAAACUUGAUGAAACAUAAGCUAGUUUGUUUUUAACAUUUAACAAUUGCAUUUUUUUUAAAAUUGACAGAGGUAACAGCUACGGGUCCAUGCUCUCCUAGCCGGCUAGAGACCCGAAAGUCCUCAUCUCCACCAUCCGCCCCACGCCGCCUCGGCAUUCACGACACCACCUCGUCUUUGUGUCACAUGAGAGGAGAUAAGACUAGGGGCUUGUUUGGUUCCUUCACUAAAUUUUAGUUAGCUGAAUUUUAGUCACUUUAAUAGUUAAUUUUUUAAACACACUUACUAAAAAGAGCUAAAAUAAUUUAGUCCCACUAGUUAACUAAGAGUAGCUAAAAUAGUUUUAGUAGUUGAGUGGAUCCAAACAGUUGCCUCUUUUUAACAGAAGGUUCUCGUAACCUGAAGCUCACGACAUUUGGACCAAAAUCUUUAAUCACACAGUAGAUGAUCCGAUCCUUGCUGUGUAAAACUGGUAAGAAGAUAUGAAAAAGAACAUAUCAUGCAUUUAAAGAUACAGGGAAAAUCAAAUUUUGGGUUUAGUUAAGUUUAAAAUGGACUGGUUUUACCAUUUUAUAUGUUGUCCAUAAUGAUGAGGGCAGCGUCUUGGCAAUAUUUUCAUUCAAUUUGUUGAAGUCCUCUUCCUUGUGCAAAACAAACAGCAAGUUAUUUUGAGAUCGUUAUGUUAAUUGUAAAUUUAAUGAUUUGGAAAACUAACAUAGUCAUGUGGCGCUAAAAAUAUCCUAGCUUUACGAAUUGCCGCCUCAUCAUGCUUCAGGCAUUCAGUGAAUGCUUGUAGGAUAUGGUUGCUGGACACACCACCAGAAAUGAACUCAGCCAUGCAAAGUCUUGCUCUGCUUGUAUUAGAAGAUAAUAAUCGCACAAAAACGAAUACGAGGAGUAUUAGAAGCUAAUACUUACUGCUUGUACUCGAGCAAAUGAGAUCGUAUUAGCUUCGAGCUUAUGGUGUAUCUAGGCACUGUUGUUUCUGUUCGUUUCAUUCUUAUUGUCCUUUUUUAGACGAAUUUUCAAACGCACUUUCCAUUUCAGCAUCGUCAUUUCGCUGUAAGUAUAUUGGCCCUCACCCGUAUUUUAACAUAACGUGAAAACACUGUCCAUGACCAUGUUGUUUUAAUGCUUCCAGCCCUGCUUGGAUGGAUCCAAUACCUCAGUUCUGGAUUACCUUGUCUUCCCAGGCACAAAACAAGUCAGAGUUCAAGAAGACAUUCCGUAAAAUGGACUUGAAAUGAAGAGUCUCAAGCUCUACAAGCCGACAAGGAACUCUGGGGUGUCUAGCACUAGUAGAUCAAUGAGUUAUGGUCUUAGGUCUGAUUGUAAACCUUGGUUUGGAGCCAUUCAAAUGGGGCCUUUCUUGCGGAUCCUAUCCAUCUGGUGGAGACAAGCUUGAGAUCAUCAUCCAAAUCUCAUCAUAGACUAACUAGACUUAAAAGAAACAAAUUGUGUGAUUAGUUAUUUUUUAUCUAUAUUUAAUGUUUUAUGCAUGUGCCGCAAGAUCCGAUGUGAUAAGAAAUCUUAAAAAGUUUUUUUUGGAUUUUGGGGUUAACUAAACAAGGCCAGUAUGCUCAGGCCUUGUUUAGGCCUUGUUUGGUGGGCGUUGGUAAAAUUUAACUCCUGUCACGGACAAAUGCAUGAACUACUAAAGACUAUUUACAAAAUAAAAACACAGCUAGAGAGUAAUUUGCAAGACAAUUUUUUUUAAGUCUAAUUAGUCUAUAAUGAGAUACUAAUUACUAAAUAAGACGAAAAUACUACAGUACCUGUUAAACUUUAACACCCCAACUAAAUAACCCUUAGUUUUAGUCAAAAUCCAAAAACUCUCCAAGAUUCUUCGUUACAUUGAAUUUUACAGCACAUGUAUAAAACAUUAAAUAUAGAAAAAAACUAAUUACAUAGUUUAUUUAUAAUUUACUGGAUAAAUCAUUUGAACCUAGUUAGUCUAUAAUUGGCCAAUAAUUAUUAAAUACAAACAAAAGUGUUACAGUAGCCAAAUCAAAGAAAAUUGGAUCUAAACAAGGCCUCAAAGGAUGUACGUUAAUCUGCUGGAAUGUAUGCUUAACAUUAAAUUGCUUGUUAUCUUGCUGCAAGGUCCAGCUGGUGCAUGUUAAUCUGGGAGGCACAGGUUUCAUGUGUUAUACACCAUGAAGUUUCCAGACUGUGUACUGUAUCUGCAAGUUUCUUAGAGCACUCAUAAUGCAUACUCUAUCAUAGAGUCUAAAGUUAUUUAUUACCUUGAACAAUAUGGACUUAGAGUCUAAAUAAGACUUGGAGUCUAAUUUUUCCUACCUCUUUCUUCAAUAAAUAUGCUGCCACAUCAACAAAAUAUCAUAAAUAAUAUGUAAUUAAUUAUCUUGGACUCUAUGAUAGAAUCUUGCAUCGUAAGUGUCCUUAUGUGUGCCUUCUCAGACUGCAUCGUCGCCGGCGAGCGCAAGGAUGCAUAUUCACGAUUUUUCGUCACAUCAAAUCUUUAAACACAUGUAUAGAGUAUUAAAUAUAGAUAAAAAUAAAAACUAAUUACACAGUUUAGUUAAAAUUUACGGGACGAAUCUUUUGAAUCGAGUUAAUCUAUAAUUAGAUAAUAAUUAUUACAAACAAAUGAAAGUGCUAAAAUGUGCCAAAACUAAACACGGCCCUAGAGUCUCCAUCGCUGAUCCGAAAAUAUAAACGACAAUCCGAAAAAAAAAACGGCCGGCCCAUAUGUUCCAUGUCUAGGGCCUUGUUUAGUUUCGAAAACUGAAAAGUUUUCAGAACUGUAGCACUUUCGUUUGUUUGUGGUAAAUAUUGUCUAAUCAUAGACUAACUAGAGUCAAAAGAUUCAUCUCGUGAUUUACAGUCAAACUGUGUGAUUAGUUUUUGUUUUCGUCUAUAUUUAAUGCUUCAUGCAUAUGCCGCAAGAUUUGAUGUGACAGAGAAUCUUGAAAACUUUUUGAAUUUCGGGGUGAACUAAACAAGGCCCUAGUUUGGUCAUUUCGAAAUCUGCCAAAAUUCCAAAUCCCAAGACACCCGCCGUCUGCCCGUCCCCUCCCAGCGCCCAGCUUCCCGCGAAAAGGCUUGGGCGCUUGGCGGUCUCGCUCUCGCUGCCCAUUCUCGUCAUUUCCACUUCGCCGCCCCAGACUGACCACCAGACACUUCUCUCUCCCACUCGACACUACAAAAGUCUGCAACCGCAACUCCCCAGGGUUUUCCUCAUCUCUCUCUCUCUCUCUCUCUCUCUCUCCAGUCUCUGAGUUCCUUCUUCCUUGCAUCUCCGUUCUCCACUGCGCAAUGGGAGGAGGAGGAGGGGAAGGGAUGGAGGUGGAGGUGCCCCUGUCGACGGGGGCGUUCGAGGCGAUGUGGCGGGACCACGGCCUGCGCCCGGUGCUGCAGCUGGCGGACGAGCCGCGGAUGGCCGCGGAGACGGGGCAGUACCGCGUCGCACUCUCUGACGGCGGCGAGCGCCUGCAGCCGGGGAUACUCGCCGCGUCCCUCAACCACCUCGUCGCCCGCGGCGCGCUCCGCUGCGGCACCGUCAUCCGCGUCCUCGAGUACUUCGCCGGCUUCUACCACAACCAAAAGUGACGGAUCGAUCCAUCGCUCUCUUCCUUCCUCUCUAUCCUAUCCUUUUUUUUAGCGCGUCCGUCAAGAUCCACAUUGGACUAUUUCUUGUGCGUCGCCGCUGUGCGCGUUCUUGGUCACGGGUUACCACUGUACAACAGCCUAGGAUUUUGUGCCUUUUUAUUUUUUUUGUGCUACUGAAAAUCUUGCCAAGGCGUCCAGCACCAGCGACCCUUCGUUACGUCCAUUCUUGGCUCUAGGGGUGGGGUUUCUGUGGCUGUGCAGUGAGUCAGUGACACAUCCACGUUACUGCAUGGCCUGCCAACAAGCGUUGGUUUUUUUUUUUUUUGGAAAAAGUCUACUUAUCUGAUCAAUAGUUGAGGGGGUGAAUUAGAUUUUUUCCUUUUUUUUUGGUUACCGGAAUGCAUUGCAAUGUAGUAGUGAGAGCUGAGCUGUCGAUCAUAUAAACCUGUUGACUUUUUUUUUGUGUCUGUAUAUGACUGCUUUUGCAUGGAAUGGGCAAAGAGCAAUUGACAUCUCAAUGGCCCUUGCUCUUUUAGUCUUAUAUAGGUUUGGUUAUGCCCAUAAGGUUUUGUAUUUAUAGCAUAUCUAUUUACUACUGAUCAGAUCAUGCUGUAAUUCUUUCCUUUGUAGUCUCAAACCACGCACGCAAAGUUUUUAGUCGUUUACUGCACCAUACUCUGAAAAGUGGAGCUAAAAUCAUUGGUUUAUUUGGUUCAGCGUGGUUUGUGUUUCUUAGUUUGUUUCUCAAAAGUCCAUGGCCGCCUGUGAUAUAUAUUCUUGUACAUUACUGAUUCAGAUGAGGUGUCUGUCCAUUUUUCCUUUCUUAUCAGACGCAUCAAAUGUACAAGCCAUAGGCGCAAUGCUCAGCGUGAUUUCAUACUAAACUGUCAAGCCGAAAAUUUAGUCUUUUAUUACUUUAUAGACUCUGAAAAGUGAAACUGAAACCAUCAAUUUUAUUUGGUUCAAUGUGGUUUUGGGUUUCUUGGUUUGUUACUGAAAGGGCCAAAAUUGUUUAUGUUGCAUUCCCACUUCCUUUGAUGUAUAUGUGCUUGUACAUUACUGGUUCAGAUGGGGUGCACUCGUCCAUUUUCCUUUCUUAUGUGACGAUACAUUUCUAUGGAGUUUCCAUCAUGUCAGUUUUUUUUCUUAAGUUCGAAAAUAACUUUUUGUUCACAUAUUUGUAUCGCUACAUAUGCUAAAGCUAAACUUAAAGGCAAAGCUCUGAGCUUUAAGCCAAAUAUUCUUCUAUUAUUUGUUUUACCGCUCUAGUUGUUUUAUCACAAACGGGCUCAGUGUUUCUUCCUGUAUAACUAUUAUGUUUUUCUAACUUUCUGGUCCUGUUCAAAUUUCUUUCUCCAUUUAUAUCCUGCAAUUUUAAGUUCAUUACUCGAAGUAAGUACAUUUUCCUUUUCCGGAUGAACAAACUCUUCACAUGUCAUAUACCACUAAUUUUACUUGAUGUGUUUCCUGAAUUAUUUCUAAUCAAUUAUAACUGGCUGUUCUCUGACUAUUUUUUCCUUCUAUGUCUUGUUUUCUUCAUUCAGGGUCGUUAUUGUUAUCCAACUUGAGAUACUGCAUGCUGAGUGCACGCUGAUCCGCAAUCCCACAAUCUUUGAGGCCAAUGCAACUCAACAUAUUGGUGUAUCCUGUUCUGGUGGUCUUGCCAUCCAUGAACCUUGCUUCAUGCUGUGUACUCAGCAAGUUACUAGCAACCCAUCAUGUUUUCCUGAUAAGAGAGUGUUGGAUUCUUCAGUUACACCAAAAGCAGAACCUACUGUGAUUAAUCUACCAUUCAGUGAAUGUGUUUGUUCAAUGCCAGCACAGAGCACAGUAGAUGCUAAGAUGCAGCAGCUUUCAUUGAAGGAUCAUCAAAACCAAAGGGUUAUGAUGACUGCCACAGGUGAUGCUUUGACCCUCUUGGAAAUUCUUAUGCAAGCCCAAUGCUAGCUUCUUAUCUUCAAGAUUCACCAGGGCUCUCGGGCGUGAUGGCGGUGCAGCUGACGCCUGGCGCGGUGAUGGCGAUCUCCAAGCAUGCCGACGGCAAUGGGACGCUGCAGCCGAUGCUGCAGGUGGUGGACCUGCAGAUGGUCAACAAUGUCAAGAACCCCUCCGCCGAGCGCUUCCAGAUGGUGCUCUCUGACGGCGUGUACACGAUGCAGUGCAUGCUCACUGCCGCUGAGAACACACAUGUCCUUGACGGCUCCAUCCAGAAGGGCUCAAUUAUCCACCUCCAGGAGUUCACCUGCAGCACCAUCCAGAAUCGCAGGUGAGGAUUAGUUAUUAAUCCUUCCCUGCGCUUGAUUCCCCGUUCCAUCCCUUGUUCGAAUUGCAGAUUUGUUUUUAUUUUCUUGGGUGCCUAGUAGAAAGGUUGAAUGUUGGUUUGCCUCCCGCGCAAUUCGCAUGAUGUUCAGUGCUGUAAAACCUGCAGCAUGUUAGACUCGUGCCGCAUCGUAAUAGGGUUGCGAACUUUGCGACAUUUCUCUAGGUGAUUUGCAGCUACCGCCUUGGAAAGAUAGGUUGGGAUUCGGUGGUGGUAGAAAAUGGUAUUUGGUCGAUGUGGUAAUAGGGUUUAUGGUCAUUCCAGUCCACACUCACAGAAGUCUUGUUGAUGGUUUUCCGCUACCUUUAGAUUAGCCUACGACUAGGUUAAGUUCGCCACAAUGGAGUCCAAUAAUUUUCAUUCAAUUAUAUGCUUGUUUCUAUCAAGGUUGUUGCGCUUCUCUAUACUGUACAAACUAUAAACUUUGUAUACUGUUGAUGAUCUUUAGUGCAGUGAAAGGUGAUAUAGUUUUGUGCUAGUAGUUACAAGUUGGAAAGCUCUUAUUCUGGCAUCCAUGUCAAAUCAGUAAAACUGUCACAACAUGUUCUGCUGUGACCAUUCAAAUCAGUCUUAGAAGUAGCUCUUUUAAGAUGUGAUGAGUCUGAAUACUCAAGUGGGCGUUACUGAAGUAUGUACAAUUAUAGAAUUCUAAUGAAUUACCAUACAUCAAUAGAAUGUGGAUUUAUGAUAUGCUGAAUUUUAAGAUCUGAAGUGGGUUACUGUUGUUUCAUGAAUAUUUCAAGAAUCGUUGUUUCCCCAACUUAUUUGGUUCUAUGGUUUGAGUCAAUUCUUUGAAAUACCGAUUUCUGUUAGAGCUCACUAGGCAUCUCCUUAAGAGAAGAAUAUCGCAUUUGAAUGUUAGUUUGUUGACACCUUUUUGUGACUUGCCUCUUGUCAGUUUAGUUGACCAUGCCUUUAUCUUUUGUUCAGGAUCAUUAUUGUUUUCAAACUUUAUGUCCUCCAAAGUGAGUGCAACAUAAUGGGAAACCCCAAACCUUAUGAGAUGAGAAACCAACCUAAUGAGCAGGUCACAAACUUUCCGGCCAAUGCUGCUCAAGCUAAUACUGGAACAUAUUCCAGUGGCCCUGGUAUGCUGGGUUCUUCUGCUGCUCCAAGGCCAGUGCAAGAUGUUAAUAAUGUACCAUACAGUGGAUCCUAUGGUGGUUAUCAGGGUAUGAUGGGCCGUCCAUUUGGUCAUGCAGUAGAAUCUGUUCCCAAUGUGGCAUCUGGUCUCUCUUACGGUACAACUUCAGCACAUAAUAAUACAAUGAAUGUGGGUAUUGUGCAGUCAAACUUGCAGCAGCCUUCAUUAAAUUCUCACCAGAACCCAAGGUUUGUAGUUCCUUCCAUGACUGGUGGCAGUUCCUUUUAUCAACAAUCGCCUCCAGGGCAUAUGAAGAGAACUCCUGUGUCUAAGAAUGAUGCAAAUCAUCUUGUCCCAGUGGCUCAAUUGAACCCAUACCAAACUAGAUGGAAGAUCAUGGCUAGAGUGACUGCAAAGACUGAUCUCAGGCACUACAGCAACUCUAGAGGUCCCGGAAAAGUCUUCUCCUUUGAUCUCCUUGAUGGACAGGGUGGAGAAAUCCGUGCAACAUGCUUCAAUGUGCAGGCUGAUCAGUUUUUUGACCUCAUUGAGGUUGAUAAGGUGUACCUGAUAUCUAAAGGGUUGUUGAAACCAGCAAUGAAGAAGUUUAACUCUUUGAAUCAUGAGUAUGAAGUAACCCUGGAUCACAGAACAUCUAUCGAAGUCUGCGUUGAUGAUGAUAGCAAC
rnacentral:lncRNA from 1 species